UUUUAAUUUUAUGUGGUGAGCAAUGUAUAUGUGAGUUUUGUGGAUGAGUCUAAGUAAAACUAAGCAAAUGAUGGUUGUAGGAGGUUCCCCAGAAGUGCCUGACCCACCCCGCAGCCCUGGAUGCCGACGUCACUGACUUGAAUGAUUGAAGCUCACAGCCACUUGGUAGAGAACGAAUGGUCUUCGCAAUGAUCAAAGACACGUGAUAGUGGACCAUCUACUUUGCAAAGCACUUUCCUGGUUUUUCUAUUUAAUGGAUUUGAAAGCCUCUGUCUAAGUUAAAAUUACAGGGAAUAUUUCGAUUCUAGCAAGUACUGUGUAAUGUAAGAAUUUAGAAUUUAUGCGUGGAUUUUCUAUUAAUGUAUUUGAAAGCCUAUGUGCAAGUUAGAUUACGCAAGAGUAUUUCGAUGCCAGGAAUGAGCGAGUAAUGCAGGAAUUCUAUGCAUGGAUUUUCUGCUUUGAAGUUCUAAAACAGAUUCUCUUGAAUCCUUUGAUGA